UUACGGCCAAUCAAGUCUACAUUUGUGUAGGAAAUGGCAGUGAUUUCCAUCCUUCUCACCCUAAAGCAAACCUACCAACACCACAGAAUACAAAAGGCUUCUAUAAACGUCAACUAAUUUAGGCCUAAUCCCUCUAAUCAUCACUUAUUGUGGCUAUAGGUUUUUGUGUACGUUUCGUCAAGAAAUGGACACUCCACACCCAUCAAGGAAUAUAAAAUGGGUUGAAGUAAAGCUUAGAAUAAUAAAUUCUGAGAAGAUCAGCUAAGCAAUAUAAUUUCCUUGAUAUAUUUUUGUUUACCAUUCAUGGCCGAUCUCAUAAAAUAUAGAAAACAUCAUCAAAGAUGUCAAAUUGUACUGGAACGGAAUAAUUUUUAGAAAUUUAAUUAAAUUUUAAGAAGUUUUUCUCGUUGACAUUGCCAUUUCUAUAGAAACAUGUUUAAAUAAAAACUGAGUUUUACCUUACCUUAGUAUUCUGACCAGCAGGUACUAGGAAGUAAGUAAGUACACAAGUUAUCAGUCGUAAAUAUCUGCCAUAAAUUUGUACUAUUUGUACAAAUGAAAAUCUGAAUCUACUAAAACGUAGAUUUUUGUAUCUAUAAUUGUGUUUUGAAUUAUCAAAAACUUUGCAUAAUUUUGUCACAGUGUAUUAUUAAAAUAGUAUAUUGUUUUAUUAGGAGUUAAAGUGUUACUUUACAAAAGGUACUUUUACUCCGAAUAAAACCUACUAUUUUUUCUUCAAACGUUUCAAUGAAGUUAAAAUGUAACACAUUUCUUUUUACAUAAUCUCACUAUUCCUUGUAUCACUACAUCAUACCACCACACAACCCGACAAUCAGGAAGUACACACCAUGAACACUGUUUGCAAUCACUUUUACCAUACAUAUUUAAAUCGCUUUAUGCAGAAAGGGGUUAAGUCAUGUUUUUCCAUAUAUUUUUUUGCUAAGAAGGGAAAUGUUAAAUAUUUAAAACAGAUAUUUGCUUAGCCGAUUUAUACGGCUUCACCAACUGUAAUCAGCAAAAUGUGUAAAUAGCCCCUAAACCAAGUUUUAGGUUUUUUUUUUUGGUUACCUAAAACCUAGUUUUAUCACUUAUGUCCUUUUUCCAUAAAUCGAUUCAUUUGCUUUUAACAUAACUGUCAGCAUUUACCAGGUACGCGUGAUAAUCUCGCUUUAUAGAUAGCAGAAAAAAAGGCGGUAGAAAAUAGUAAUUAUUAGUCAAGGUUGCAAAGCCAAGCAUUCUAGACCGGGCGCAAAUUAGAACCCGAAACGCGCAGCGUCGAGGGCUCUAAAGCGCGAGGUCUAGAAGUGGCUUUACAACCGUGGUUAAUAUACUAUUUUUUUCACUAAUAGAGACCACAAGACAUUAAAUUGAAAAAAUAAGCGUUCAAUUUUUUGACGCAACAUGAUUUUGUUUUGAUUUCUAAUCAAAUUUAAUCUAAAUCUUCAACACAAAGAAAAACGUUUACACUUGUCCCUGAAUUAAUCAUUUUAUCUUCCACGAUCUACCAACUACCAUGCGUAUACUCAAGUAAUGUUUGUAGCACACAUUUAUUCAUUUUUUAAGAAAUAAUCACAUCAAGUAUUUCGUACAUAACCUCUAUCUUCUUUUUGAACCUUGGUUGCAAAAGUUGAACUUUGCUACCUCUAAAUAAGUCGACAUUUGCAUACUUCAUGGCUGCUAGUGAAAAAAGUAUU